rnacentral:rRNA from 1 species
AGCCGGUGGAGUAACCAUUUGGAGCUAGCCGUCGAAGGUGGGACAAAUGAUUGGGGUGAAGUCGUAACAAGGUAGCCGUAUCGGAAGGUGCGGCUGGAUCACCUCCUUUCUAAGGA